GGGAAUAUUGGACAAUGGGCGAAAGCCUGAUCCAGCAAUGCCGCGUGUGUGAAGAAGGUCUUCGGAUUGUAAAGCACUUUAGGCGGGGACGAUGAUGACGGUACCCGCAGAAGAAGCCCCGGCUAACUUCGUGCCAGCAGCCGCGGUAAUACGAAGGGGGCUAGCGUUGCUCGGAAUGACUGGGCGUAAAGGGCGCGUAGGCGGUUUUCCAAGUUAGAUGUGAAAUUCCUGGGCUCAACCUGGGGACUGCAUUUGAUACUGGGAGGCUUGAGUAUGGAAGAGGGUCGUGGAAUUCCCAGUGUAGAGGUGAAAUUCGUAGAUAUUGGGAAGAACACCGGUGGCGAAGGCGGCGACCUGGUCCAUAACUGACGCUGAGGCGCGAAAGCGUGGGGAGCAAACA
rnacentral:rRNA from 1 species